ACCACCUUUAUAGGGUUUCGUAGUGAGAAUUCCGGGCUAUGGUGGGCCAAGGCAUCCUCACGCACUGGUCAGAAACGCCCGAACGAUCCUCGUCGUCCACAGGAUAACUUCUCUCUGUGCGUCUGUGAUAAGCCUCUCCUCUAAUCCGAGCUGGUAAGUAUGCUCAUUUAAAUGUCUUUCAACCAUUCCAUUGGUGCUUAUGAUCAGUGGGAGUAUCGUCGUGUUGGUAAGUUUAUAAAUUUCUUUCAGCUCGAAUGCAAGAUCAUGGUACUUCAUUCUUUUUUCAGCAUAGGCUUUCUCGAUGUUGUCAUCCGCUGGAAUGGUGACGUCUAUUAUUGUGACCUUGUUCUCCAGUUUGUGAAAUAUGACAAUGUCAGGCCGAUUAUGUGCAAUAGGUCUAUCCGUGAUGAGUGGGGAAUCCCAGUACAACCUGAUUCUAUUGUUCUCCAGUAUUUCGCUUGGUCUGUAUUCGUAUGCCCGUUUUUCUUUCUUUAUUAAUCCGGCUUGGAUGGCAAUAGCCUGGUGAUAUACUUUGGCCAUGGAGUUGUGGCGAUCUGUAUACUCUCUCGGAGCUAUUACUGGACAGGACGAGGUAAGCUCGUGUUGGGACAACCUGAUCUUGGAUUGCUGCCAACCUGCCUUCUGUUUCUGCAAAGAGGGUUGUUGGGUACCUUCCAUGAAGGGUUUUGCCGUGCCACUCUUCAGAAAGUGCUGCAGUUGUCAGAGGUCCAGCCGGAUCGUUAUUGGAGGCAAGAUUCAGCACUGUGAUAUUAUCGUCUGCUUCACAUAGCGCCCUGAAGAAUGAAUAGAGAUGUCUAGAAAGUAGAAGGACCUUUUCAAUGUCAGGUUGGUGGAUUCCAUGUAAGCAAGCCCCGACGAGCUGGUGGUGGAAGCAUUUUACUACGGGCCAAGACUACGAGGGGAGAAUGUCCAGGGAAAAUCAGUGCCCGAAAGAAUUCCCCAAAAAAGGCGGCAAGAGAGCAAUCGAAAGCUGAGGGAGACAUCAAUCAGGAAGCGAGGUCGGAACGACCCAACCCGCCCGGAACCUCCAACCCAGGCCGUUGGAGAUUCGUCCAGAGGCACUCGCCGAUUACGAGACUCGAAAUUUUCCCCUUCCAACCGACAUUACAAGUAAGGAAUUUUGAAGAAGAAUUAGGAUUCUUGCCGGUGUCUUCGAAGUAGACAGGGCCGUCGCUAGCCAAACUGCCGCCCUAGGCAGAGACUCAUUUUGCCGCCCUAGACAGAGACCAAUUUUGCCGCCCUAACAGAAGCUUACUCUGCAGAAUGCUAAAAAUAAAUAUUGGAUAAUAGAGGUACAGCGCCUGCUCAAGCGUUUCUACCUUUCUAUUUUUCAUGGAUUCAAAUUUCAAUCCAAUAGAUGAUUUAGGAUAAGUGGAAUGUAAUAAACAAUAAACGUGCUCAACUGAAA